AACGAACGCUGGCGGCAGGCUUAACACAUGCAAGUCGAGCGCCCCGCAAGGGGAGCGGCAGACGGGUGAGUAACGCGUGGGAAUCUACCUUUUGCUACGGAAUAACUCAGGGAAACUUGUGCUAAUACCGUAUGUGCCCUUCGGGGGAAAGAUUUAUCGGCAAAGGAUGAGCCCGCGUUGGAUUAGCUAGUUGGUGGGGUAAGGCCUACCAAGGCGACGAUCCAUAGCUGGUCUGAGAGGAUGAUCAGCCACACUGGGACUGAGACACGGCCCAG
rnacentral:rRNA from 1 species